AAACCGACACAGGUGGGUGAGGAGAGUAUCCUAAGGCCAGCGAGAGAACUGUUGUUAAGGAACUCGGCAAAAUGACCCCGUAACUUAGGGAUAAGGGGUGCCACCAUCAGGUGGCCGCAGAGAAUAGGCCCAAGCGACUGUUUACCAAAAACAUAGGUUUCUGCUAAGUCGCAAGACGAUGUAUAGGAGCUGACGCCUGCCCGGUGCUGGAAGGUUAAGGGGAUCUGUUAGAGCAAUCGAAGCAGUGAACUUAAGCCCCAGUAAACGGCGGCCGUAACUAUAACGGUCCUAAGGUAGCGAAAUUCCUUGUCGGGUAAGUUCCGACCCGCACGAAAGGCGUAACGAUUUGGGCACUGUCUCAACAACCGACGCGGUGAAAUGGGAAUUCCGGGGAAGAUGCCGGAUACCUGCGACAGGACGGAAAGCCCCCAUGGAGCUUUACUGUAGCUUGACAUUGGGUCUUGGUACUACAUGUACAGGAUAGGUGGGAGGCUUUGAAACCAGGACGCCAGUUUUGGCGGAGCCAUCCUUGGGAUACCACCCUUGUAGUACUGGGACUCUAACCAUAGACCAUGAAUCUGGUCUUGGGACACUGUCAGGUGGGCAGUUUGACUGGGGCGGUCGCCUCCCAAAAGGUAACGGAGGCGCUCAAAGGUUCUCUCAGUACGGUCGGAAAUCGUACGUAGAGUGUAAAGGC
rnacentral:rRNA from 1 species